CUAUGUUGACCGUUCGCGGGUGCCAAACAAAUUCCCUUCGGGGAACUAUGAAAACUGUACUCCCUCGGGAGCAUCAAAACAAAUCAACAAUCGAGACAUACUAUGGCUCAGAACAUACAAAGGCAAUCAAAUGAUUCUUCAGGUUCAGAUGAAGUUGAAGGAUAUAUACACAACUUAACAAGUAUAAAGACUGCAAAAAAAUCUGGAACAAAUUAUUUCAACUGCGAACUUCAACUAACAGAU